GACGAACGCUGGCGGCGUGCCUAAUACAUGCAAGUCGAACGAGAGCGACCGGUGCUUGCACUGGUCAAUCUAGUGGCGAACGGGUGAGUAACACGUGGGUAACCUGCCCAUCAGAGGGGGAUAACAUCCGGAAACGGAUGCUAAAACCGCAUAGGUCUUCGAGCCGCAUGGCUUGAAGAGGAAAAGAGGCGCAAGCUUCUGCUGAUGGAUGGACCCGCGGUGCAUUAGCUAGUUGGUGAGGUAACGGCUCACCAAGGCCGUGAUGCAUAGCCGACCUGAGAGGGUGAUCGGCCACAUUGGGGCUGAGACACGGCCCAAACUCCUACGGGAGGCAGCAGUAGGGAAUCUUCCGCAAUGGACGCAAGUCUGACGGAGCAACGCCGCGUGAGUGAAGAAGGUUUUCGGAUCGUAAAACUCUGUUGUUAGAGAAGAACAAGUGCUAGAGUAACUGUUAGCGCCUUGACGGUAUCUAACCAGAAAGCCACGGCUAACUACGUG
rnacentral:rRNA from 1 species